rnacentral:rRNA from 1 species
UACGUAGGUGGCGAGCGUUGUCCGGAUUUACUGGGCGUAAAGAGCGCGCAGGCGGCUGGUCAAGUCCGAUGUGAAGCUCCCGGCUUAACUGGGAAAUUGCAUCGGAAACUGAUCGGCUGGAAGGUGGGAGAGGGUAGCGGAAUUCCCGGUGUAGUGGUGAAAUGCGUAGAUAUCGGGAGGAACACCGGUGGCGAAGGCGGCCAACUGGACGAACACUGACGCUGAGACUCGAAAGCGUGGGGAGC